rnacentral:rRNA from 1 species
AUUGAACGCUGGCGGCAGGCCUAACACAUGCAAGUCGAGCGGUAACACAGGGAGCUUGCUCCUGGGUGACGAGCGGCGGACGGGUGAGUAAUGUCUGGGAAACUGCCUGAUGGAGGGGGAUAACUACUGGAAACGGUAGCUAAUACCGCAUAACGUCGCAAGACCAAAGAGGGGGACCUUCGGGCCUCUUGCCAUCAGAUGUGCCCAGAUGGGAUUAGCUAGUAGGUGGGGUAACGGCUCACCUAGGCGACGAUCCCUAGCUGGUCUGAGAGGAUGACCAGCCACACUGGAACUGAGACACGGUCCAGACUUCUACGGGAGGCAGCAGUGGGGAAGAUUGCACAAUGGGCGCAAGCCUGAUGCAGCCAUGCCGCGUGUAUGAAGAAGGCCUUCGGGUUGUAAAGUACUUUCAGCGGGGAGGAAGGUGUUGAGGUUAAUAACCUCAGCAAUUGACGUUACCCGCAGAAGAAGCACCGGCUAACUCCGUGCCAGCCGCCGCUGUAAAAC